AUCCAAAGAAAUUUUUUUAAAUUAUUUAAAAUAUUGAGGUUCUAUUGUCGGUGGAGUUUUACGGUCGCCAUAACGGCGGAUUGUCCCCCCAUCCGCCAGGUGGCGCGAGUGUCUUCGUGAGGAAGAAAUAAUUGCCCAUUUGUUUCCGAGACGCUGACUUGAAAGUGUCUUCCAAGUUGAUUGGUGUCGAUCUACAUUUUUAGCCAUUAAAUGUAAUUGGUAAUCUGGCAUAUAAUUUCACUUGGACAAAUGUGAUGACGUGGGUCGAAACUGCUGUCCAUUUUGUCGAAAUGUCGGCCAUUGUUAGCUGUACGUCUCAUCUCGUGCAGAAACACUUCGGAGCUAUUGAUUUUCAGGUCGGAGAUGGAGAUCCCUUUGCUCAACUGUUGCAGAAAUUUAGAACAUGACAAAGUCCGAGCUUCAUGGCUGUAGCCUGUAGUAUUGGUUUAUCGAGCUGGUGCUAUCCCAAGUGUAACUGCAGGAAAACUUCUUGAAUUGCCAGGUGAAGUCUGCGCUUCUUUGUUGCAGUCUAAUGUGCGCAUGGAUUCGUUGCAGUCAUCCAGUGAAAGGUGUGAAUAAAUUGAGCUGUUGCAUGCAGUCUUUGGUGCUGAUGUUGUCCUGGAGUGUGGGAGAGUCCCAUGCUUCAAGUCUUCUGGGAUCAGCUAUAUCUGAGUUGACGCUGGAUCAUGCUGCAUUGUGGUUGCCGAAAUGUUUGACAUCUAGUAGAACUGCAAGAAGACUCCUUGAAAUGGUUUAUGUUUACGUAGCAGUGAUGUUGCUGUCCAAUAUGCAUGUUGUUGCAGCCUAUACUG
rnacentral:lncRNA from 1 species